rnacentral:rRNA from 1 species
UUACCUACGGGACGCAGCAGUGAGGAAUAUUGGUCAAUGGGCGAGAGCCUGAACCAGCCAAGUCGCGUGAGGGAGUACUGCCCUAUGGGUUGUAAACCUCUUUUGUCGGGGAGCAAAAGCCGGACGUGUCCGGCUGUGAGAGUACCCGAAGAAAAAGCAUCGGCUAACUCCGUGCCAGCAGCCGCGGUAAUACGGAGGAUGCGAGCGUUAUCCGGAUUUAUUGGGUUUAAAGGGUGCGCAGGCGGAUUUUUAAGUCAGUGGUCAAAUCGUGGGGCGCGAUCCCAUCCAGCCGU